UUUCCUAUUUCGUCUAGGUAUUUCUACAUUUAAUGCUACUGCCUUAGUUGUAACAGCUAAGGGUAUUUCUCAGUUUUCUUUGUAAAGCUCAAAUAUAAGUAUUAAAUAACAUCAUUCUCUAUUGUGAAACCAUUACCAGCCUCAAUCUCUAUAAAAUCACUCUUUAAAUUCAACAACUCAUAUAUGUCAGUCAACAGUCUGAUGUAGGAAUACCUAUCAGCAAGCAAAUUGUUCAUUCUCUCCUCAUGCCCUUCAUAUUUAAUUAACAAAUUGUACCUCUUAAAUUUAUCCAUUGCUAUCUGUAAAAAUAAAAAGAAAAUUACAAAAUUAAUUUUCAAAUCAUUAAACCCUUAAUCUUAAUAGUAAACCCUAGAAAACCAAUAAAUAAAAAAUUAUUUAUUGUAACUAAAAAAAAUCUAAACAGUAAAGCAACAAAUUUAUUUUCAUCGUAAAACAAAAGGGAUUUUCGUACCUUCAAAGUGGACUUCGAUUUCGUUUUCUUCUACGUAUAUGAACACUAACUCCACCUUCAAAAUGUGGUGGGUUCAGUGUUUCUUGAGAAGAUUAAGGAAACGAGAGACAAUAGGACGACAAAGAGAGAGAAGUUCUGAUAGAGAGAGAGACAGAGAGAGCGAGAGAGACAAGGCUUCGACAGAGAUAGGGAAACCGCGAGAGACAAGGCUUCGACAAAGACAGGGAGAGCGCAAGAGAGCAGGACAAGUUUUGAUAAAGACAAAAGGGUUUAGUUUUGAUAUAGAGAGAGAGAGACAAAGAGAGCGCAAGAGAAAAUAGUAAAGCUGAGAGAGAGAAGUUUAAACAAAGACAGAGAGAGCGAAAGAGAGAGGGAGAAGAAAGAGGGAUAGGAUUUUGUGAUUUUGAAAUAGAGACACUUUUAGUGACGAUUAAUUUUUUCAAUUCACGUGUUAUAAACAACUAUUUUAGAUGGAAUGACUACAAAUUUAGAUGGAAUGACUACAAAUUUAGAUGAAAGAGAAAGUGAAGAAUUUAAGUGCUAAUUCAUCAAAUAGAGAGAUAAAAGUGUUAAUUACGUUAAAUUUUAGAGAUUAAAAAGUAAUUUUUUCUUUUAAAAUUAAUAAUGAAUUAAGUAGAGUCAACGAUACAAAAUCGUAGAAUACUCUCGUAUCUCUUAACUUUUUUUUUCAAUCAAUCUCUAGAACAUGUUUGUAAUUUUUGUUUCUUUUGAGGAGGAGGCCGACUGUCCAGACACGCCCUUUCCCUCUUUUUCAUCUAGAUUUUGUUUUGUUUAAAUUCUUUAUUUCUUGAAAAAUUACCUUUUAAGAAGUAAUUUAUUUAUUUUUAAUUUUUUUUUUCGCUUCAAAUAAGUAGGUUUUUUUAAAUUUUUAAAAAGUUAAAAAAAUAUGCCAACCAAAUAAACUGAAUGUAUCAAUUUUUUAAAAACUUGAAAUUUCUUAGUUAAUUUAACCUCAACUAAACAAGACCCUUAUUUUAAGUCUCCUUUAAUUCUGUUGUUUUUCUUUGUCCUAGUCUCCUUAUGUGGAGUUUUUUCAGUCCUCACCAAGUUGGGGUUUUAGUUUUACUCUAGAUCUUUUUGGUUUUAGAGUAGGAGAGCUUGCAUACAAGAGAUCUCUCUCCUUCUGGUGAUGGCUUUCAAGUCUUGAUGGUGAUCUUGUCUAAUGGCCGGAAAAGGGCUUUGAUUGUCUUCUUUGCACCAGAUUUGAACCCGUCGUUGCCGACACAGGCUCCAUCUCAGUUGUUAAUGGUGACUAGCUGAUACUAUUUCCCUUCCCUCCUGGUGGAAGGCUCUGAAAUUGGAGUUGAGAGCUUUUCGCCCUCUAUGUACAGCCUUGGCAAAGAUGUAAGCGAUGAUUGGGUGUGAGAGUUGGAGACCCUGCUGGAUUUCAUUGGUUUAUGGUUGGUUGCAGGGCUGUUUCUCACAGGGUCCAUUUCGCUUGGUCUGGAAACCUUAGAGGACGUUGCGAUGCCACCCUUGGUCGGAUUUUCGGCCCUUCAUUGCCUAUAUGAGAUUGAGACAGCUUGAGGUCUUCCCAACCACCCGUCGAGUUGCUCUACUCCUCCUUCCUCUUCCAGUGUGCUUUCAUUGCAUCCCUAGUUGGCUUUAUUGCUUUUCGUUGUUGUCUCUGUCCCGGAUGUUCUUAUUUUCAGUGGCUUUGGGUGGAAGUGAUCGUGCGGCACUCUUAGGGUUGGGUAGUGGUUUUCAGGCUCGGAUUCCCAUCUGUUUCAGGUUGGAGGUUCCUAUUAGCUAUAGGGUUGUAUUUCUGGUUAAGGUGCUUUUGUUUCUGGGCUGGAUUGUUUGUUUUACGGGUUUUUGGUGGUUUCAUUUUGGCCUUUGUCCCAGAGGCCUGUGGGCUUGUUGUAUGGACUUGCCCUAUGUUUGUUAAUGAAAUUUGUCUUCUAUUUGCCAGGAAAAACAAAAAAGCAAGAAAAAAAAAACGAAUACUCUACUCCUCCGUAAGUAACUUAUAAUAUUACUUCCCGUCUCAUAAUUUUUAUUUAUUUAUUUUUAUUAUUUUAAAA
rnacentral:lncRNA from 1 species